rnacentral:rRNA from 1 species
AUUGAACGCUGGCGGCAUGCCUUACACAUGCAAGUCGAACGGCAGCACGGGAGCAAUCCUGGUGGCGAGUGGCGAACGGGUGAGUAAUAUAUCGGAACGUGCCCAGUCGUGGGGAUAACGUAGCGAAAGCUACGCUAAUACCGCAUACGAUCUAUGGAUGAAAGCGGGGGAUCGCAAGACCUCGCGCGAUUGGAGCGGCCGAUAUCAGAUUAGGUAGUUGGUGAGGUAAAGGCUCACCAAGCCGACGAUCUGUAGCUGGUCUGAGAGGACGACCAGCCACACUGGGACUGAGACACGGCCCAGACUCCUACGGGAGGCAGCAGUGGGGAAUUUUUGGACAAUGGGCGCAAGACCUGAUCCAGCAAUGCCGCGUGCAGGAUGAA